UAGUGUGGUUUAAUUCGAUGCAACGCGAAGAACUUACCUGGUCUUGACAUCCCGGAGACCCUUAGGAACUAGGGGUGCUUCCAUCUGGAAGAAUCUGGAGACAGGUGCUGCAUGGCUGUCGUCAGCUCGUGUCGUGAGAUGUUGGGUUAAGUCCCGCAACGAGCGCAACCCUGUCCUUAGUUGCCAGCAGUUCGGCUGGGCACUCUAAAGGGACUGCCGGUGUUAAACCGGAGGAAGGUGGGGAUGACGUCAAGUCCUCAUGGCCUUUAUGACCAGGGCUACACACGUACUACAAUGGCCGAUACAAAGGGCAGCGACACUGCGAGGUGAAGCCAAUCCCGUAAAAUCGGUCUCAGUCCGGAUUGGAGUCUGCAACUCGACUCCAUGAAGUUGGAAUCGCUAGUAAUCGUGGAUCAGCAUGCCACGGUGAAUACGUUCCCGGGCCUU
rnacentral:rRNA from 1 species